rnacentral:snoRNA from 1 species
UUUGAGGAAAGUGAUGAUAUGAAAUUGUCGCCCCAGGCUUAAUCUGCAUCCAUUACGAUGGUUGUAACAUGGUGAUUGACUAUUUUUGUCUGAUUCUCUCAAA